rnacentral:rRNA from 2 species
UAGAACGACUCUCGGCAACGGAUAUCUCGGCUCUCGCAUCGAUGAAGAACGUAGCGAAAUGCGAUACGUGGUGUGAAUUGCAGAAUCCCGUGAACCAUCGAGUUUUUGAACGCAAGUUGCGCCCGAAGCCUUCAGGUUGAGGGCACGUCUGCCUGGG